UUUUUAGAAUACAGUUGGUGAUGGUUAUGCUGAAUGUGCAAUGACUGACCAGCAAUGCUCUUUGCUAUGAAGAACUGAGUUCAUCAAAUGCCAUGCCCUUCAGAACCCUCAUGAAGCCAAUUGCUAAAUCUCUCCACUCCCAAACUGUCACAACUGUAAAUUUUCCCUCUUCUGUGGAUAUUACUGCCCAUUGAUGCAUGAGAAAGCGGGCAAUGGAGAAAGAAAACAGCAGAUGAAGGAUCUUGUAAAGUGAGCAAUAACAAUGGCCAAGGGAAGUGAAGAGAGCAAUUGAAAUUUUGGCUAUCCACAACAACAUUGUCUUGGUACUCUCAAUUAUAUUACAAAUUCUGACUCUCAAAUAGACAUGGCAUAUCUCAGUGACUGAGCCAAUCAGUUCAAGUGUGAUGUCCAGAGAAGAGGACAACUGAAUGCUUCCCUCUCUGUGCUAGUCUUCUGACCAGUGCCUUCUGUCCUUGCCAUUGCUUUGGAGAUGACUAUUAUCAUGCCUCUGUAGGAGGAAUAGUGUAGCAAUACAAUCUAUGAUAAAUCCACUUUUGCAUUGAAGAUACAGGAAUAGGGAGUCCCAACUAACCCAAUCUGGCCCACACUGAAACUUUCCAGCACUGAUCAGAGAACCUCCUUUUGAUCUCUUAUGAAUGAUUGAAUUUUCAUAAGCCCAAUUUGGAAAUAAUGGAACUUCUUCACAGAACAGCUGAGCUGAAAUGGCAUGUCAGCUUUUAUUCCAUCAUGGUGGACAUCUUGAUUUCUCAGAUAGGUUGAUGAGAAAACUUAAUCUUCAUCCCUGACAACAUCCCAUGUUAGGGAUAAAGAGAAACCUUUCCAUAUGUCAUCUGAGAUAUGAAGAAAUCCCAUUCUUUUUCUUAGGUGUGUAAAUUAUACAACCCAAUGAUACCACCAAGACAACAGCAUCUCCUCAUUUUAGCCAAAAAGCUCACCUUAAAAGUCUUAAGAAUAUGUAAAUAAGUUGUUUCAGGGGGCACCAAUCAAAAAGACUCUUCCACACACACCCUACUUAGCCAAAAGAAAGUCACUAUAAUUGAUGAGACAUCUGUUCUUGAAUCAUCAUCAUCAUCAUCAUCAUCAUCAUCUUGCCCUCUGCCAACUGCAAAAGGCCACCCUACUGGGAUCUGUGCGCAUCAUCUGAAAAUACAUCACACAGUCUUAGACACUUGGGAAAGUUCGACAUGUGAUUUUGUGAAAUGAAAUCCAGCAUAUCUAUCUUGUUUGCUGUGUCAUACAAUAAAAUAAUAAUAACAACUUCAUCUUGCCCAAUCUCCCCAUGGGGAUUCAGGGCGAUUACCCAUAGUGGUAGCUGCAAUAGUCUAGUUGCAUCCAUUCAAUGCUUUAGAGGAGCCAAAAAUCAUCUAGGCUCCAACCUUUGCUUUAAAUCAGUGGUUGUAUGUGGGGUAGUUUGCAUUAACGCAAUGGAAUAAACUCACAGAAACACAAGUGACCUACAUGAAUCAGCUGAGAAGCAGGACUUGUAAAGUGUGCAUGUGUGUAAGCAUAAUGUGCACGGCAGUGUAUCUGUGAGUGGGAAUGCAAUAUGAGAUAUUCUAAGGAUGAACCGUGGGAAUGCUGUGUUUAUGUCAGACAGAAGAUAGGUGCAAAAAUGUUGAGGGAAGGAUGACGUUUUUUCUUGCUUUGCUGGCAGUGGCUCACAUUUCUGCUCCUUUUCUUCACACAAAGCAUUAAAAUUAACGUGUUUUAGCAAGAGCUUACACAUUUUUAAAGCAUGGCCAAAUGCCAUACUGACUGGCUAGUGAUUUUGAGAGUUGUAAUCUCCCAAAAUGUUAUUUUUCUAAACUUUUCUAAAUUUUAGCACUUGGCAUGAUGAAAUUUACAGAGGAGGAUUUCACACAACUUGCAUACCUAAAGAAUUCUAAGGAGAGACGGAAUAAUCAAAUGCUUGGCAAUCCACAAUAUAUGGUUCCUGGGCUGUAUUUCUUUUCUUGGCUCAAAUUCUGCAGGUUUGAAUUAUUUAAAAAAACAUACACAAUAAAGCUCAUCCCAUGUUCUAACCCUGACAUUUUCACCCCUCUCUCCUUUAUUUAGUUUGCCUUGUGUUUCCUAUAGAUGUCCAUGCCAUUUUGAAAAUAGCACUGCUAUGUUAUUUUAACUGCAUUGCACCAACUAAUACUGAAAGGAAAUACGACCCUUGCAUGUUUCCCAUUUCUCGUAAAAAAUUGAAAGGUUUAUUUUUUGUGCUAGGCAAAACAGCCAUUACAGCUGAUAAAAGUUUGAUGUGUGAAUCCCAGAAAAGAAAGGGAA